CACGUAGGGCGCAAGCGUUGUUCGGAAUUACUGGGCGUAAAGAGUGUGUAGGCGGUGCUCUAAGUCUGUUGUGAAAUCUCCCGGCUUAACUGGGAGGGUGCGGCGGAAACUGGAGUGCUCGAGUGUGGGAGAGGUAAGCGGAAUUCCUGGUGUAGCGGUGAAAUGCGUAGAUAUCAGGAGGAACACCUGUGGUGUAGACAGCUUACUGGACCACGACUGACGCUGAGACACGAAAGCGUGGGUAGCAAACAGG
rnacentral:rRNA from 1 species